AACGAGAGAGAGGAAACAGACCGAGAGCGCCGCUUUGUUAUCUCAUCCUCUACUUUAAACCCUAAUUCUCCUCCUAUGAUCCUCAAGCGACUCAAAUCCAGCAGGCGCAACUUGCAGCCGUCCUCGUACUGGAUCCGGCGCCCUUCGAGUCACUCAUCUCAUGUCAAUGUUCAACGAGCAAUGAUCCGAGGCCGAGCUUAUCUUCAACCUCUGCAAGCAGAAUGAUCCAAACUCUCUCGUCCCCGCAUUCGGAUGUGAAGCUUGCAGCCCUCAUGUCUCUGGUUAAUUUCAUCCAGUGCUUGACGAAUUCGAGCGACCGAGACCGGUUCCAGGAAUUGCUGUCAACAAUUAGGUUCUUAGAUGGGGACGUUCUGUUUUAUGCAAAGAUUCAAAUAUUCAUCCAGUUUCAAUGCUGCUGCACUUGUAAUUAAUGGUGUUGCAGCAGUUUCUUCUGGUGAUGUCCCUCUUAAUGCGGUGCAGAUCAAGGCUUCAUUAGUUGACACUUAAAGUAAACUUUCUGAAGUGAAGAAACAACAAGACCUGGUGUUUA